rnacentral:rRNA from 1 species
CCCUUAGAUGUUCUGGGCUGCACGCGCGCUACACUGAUGCGUACAACAAGUUUCUUCCUGGUCCGAGAGGAUUGGGUAAUCUUGAAACACGCAUCGUGAUGGGGAUAGAUUAUUGCAAUUAUUAAUCUUCAACGAGGAAUUCCUAGUAAGCGCAAGUCAUCAGCUUGCGUUGAUUACGUCCCUGCCCUUUGUACACACCGCCCGUCGCUCCUACCGAUUGGAUGAUCCGGUGAAUUAUUCGGACAGUUUCGCUCUUCACGGAGUCGAGACUGGAAGUCUUGUGAACCUUAUCAUCUAGAGGAAGGAGAAGUCGUAACA